rnacentral:rRNA from 1 species
GUGGGGAAUUUUGGACAAUGGGGGCAACCCUGAUCCAGCCAUGCCGCGUGCGGGAAGAAGGCCUUCGGGUUGUAAACUGCUUUUGUACGGAACGAAACGGUCCUGGUUAAUACCUGGGGCUAAUGACGGUACCGUAAGAAUAAGCACCGGCUAACUACGUGCCAGCAGCCGCGGUAAUACGUAGGGUGCAAGCGUUAAUCGGAAUUACUGGGCGUAAAGCGUGCGCAGGCGGUUUUGUAAGACAGGCGUGAAAUCCCCGGGCUCAACCUGGGAAUGGCGCUUGUGACUGCAAGGCUGGAGUGCGGCAGAGGGGGAUGGAAUUCCGCGUGUAGCAGUGAAAUGCGUAGAUAUGCGGAGGAACACCGAUGGCGAAGGCAAUCCCCUGGGCCUGCACUGACGCUCAUGCACGAAAGCGUGGGGAGCAAACAGGAUUAGAAACCCUUGUAGUCC